AAUAGAUACCCUGGUAGUCCCAGCCGUAAACGAUGCUCGCUAGGGUGUCAGGCAUGGCGCGACCGUGUCUGGUGCCGCAGGGGAAGCCGUGAAGCGAGCCACCUGGGAAGUACGGCCGCAAGGCUGAAACUUAAAGGGAAUUGGCGGGGGGAGCACAACAACGGGUGGAGCCUGCGGUUUAAUUGGACUCAACGCCGGACAACUCACCGGGGGACGACAGCAAUAUGUAGGCCAGGCUAAAGACCUUGCCUGAAUCGCUGAGAGGAGGUGCAUGGCCGUCGCCAGUUCGUACUGUGAAGCAUCCUGUUAAGUCAGGCAACGAGCGAGCCCCGUAAAAAAAAAAAAGCCCGACUGUUACCAGCAUGGUCCUCCGGGACGAUGGGGUACUCUGUGGGGACCGCCGAUGUUAAAUCGGAGGAAGGUGCGGGCUACGGUAGGUCAGUAUGCCCCGAAUUUCCCGGGGCUACACGCGGGCUACAAUGAAUGGGACAAUGGGUCCCUACCCCGGAGAGGGGUUGGUAAUCUCCCGAAACCCCAUCCAUAGUUCGGAUCGAGGGCUGUAACUCG
rnacentral:rRNA from 1 species